UCGAAUACAGCAGGACUUGUGUUCCGGAAAUACUCGAAAGACAAAGAUGCGACGAGACGUUUCUUCUUGAGCAUUUCUUUAAGGACAUCAACGCCGACUGUGGAACAUCGAAGCCAGUCUGCUUGGAGUGCACUCAAAACGCAAUAUCGGAUGCGGAAGAUGUGUGCUUGAGGAAAUACGAACAGGAACACGGCAUCAUUUCUAGAGGCCUGAUGUCCGGCAACGACAAACGACUGUGCUGUAUGUUGGACUACAAGAAGAAUUGUGUUCCAGACCAAUUAAAACCAAAAGGCUGUGGCGAACAACUUCUUCAAAAUUAUGUUGUCAAGGUACAGAGUGAAAUGAGAUACCAAUGUGCAGGAUCGAGCUCGAUGUGUACCGUUUGCCCAAGAGGAUUAUUAGACAGUGCAAAAAGUACCUGCUACAACAAUUAUCAAAACGAUCAAACUGCAUCAAAACUCCA